GGCGGAGGACCCGCUGUAGAGGCGCCUGGCGGUAGGGGCCGGGAGCAGGAGCCGGGCGGGGCGGGGAGGGAGCUGUUGGAGGGGGGGGAGGCGCGGAACCCGAGGAGGGGACGUGAAGGCUGCCAGGCACCGCCGGCCCCUCCAACGUGACGGUCAGCCCCGCCGAGCGAUCGCUCCCGUUCACACUCACGCUCACUCACACACUCGUUCCCACCCGCUCCACCGGGCGAUCGCAGGGUCCCGGGCACCCAACGCGGCACUCCCCAGGCGGGUACUUACAGUUGCCAUCUGCAUAAGGGGCAACUUUGUCCAAGCCAGCAGCAGCCGCCGCCCCCUCCAGCCUCCGGCUCCACGAACCCUCGGGCCUGGGUUCGCGCUGGCCGCCCCUCCCCUCCCCCCUCAGCUCUCCUCCUCGCCGUCUUCACCACAUUCCCCCCUGGUCAGUGGCGCACGCCUGGGGACUAGCCAGAGGGAGCGGGACGCGGGGGUGUGCAUGCAUCGCCCGCCUUCUUCUUGCAGCGCACACUGUACAUGGUAGUGAGGGGGCGAGCAAAGGUGGCAUCGGCCCCUUGGCUACUCCUGGGGUGGCUACGGCUCCUGCGCCGUCCUCCACCCCCCGCGUAGUGGCGACCACCGCGCCGGGAUCCCGCCGCCGCUGUCCCCUCUCUCUGUCCACCGCCGCGGCGGCCCCUAAUUAGUAUUUGUACGGUUCCCGCAUCCUCUUGGCAGUUUCAUCGCUCCCGGUGUUUGCAGAGGUUUUUCUCAUCCUUUCCCCAGAUGCGGCGCACGAUCGUCAUUAUUUGGAACUCUCUAUCUCCGACAUCCUUUAGGGGGCCUGGGGGGGGGACAGGAGCAGCGUUGUUUUACGCCUGUGGCGUGUCCCGGCAGGCUGGCGGCUCUAAAAUACUCAGAGAAAAUCGCUUCUUCCCUCCCGGGCGCUGAAGAUGUGGCAACACGAAUUACGUUUUAUAGGUAUGUCUGGGCGAUGCAAGGGAAUGUUAACGACUUUCAGAAAGAAUGUUUGUGAAUACAUUUGGUGUGUACUAAAAAGCUGGAGACCCCUAAAUAAAUGCAGUAUCGAUAGAAAGCGAGUUUCUUGAAGAGUCACCUGCUAAACUCCACUAGCAUCAUCUCUACAGCAUAUUGACAUAGGCAUCGAAAAAACCACAAACUAAUUCUUUUCCAGUGUCCUCAACUACCUCCAUCUUUACUUCAUGAAAUGAUUAAAUAUUGAAUUCUGUACACCAGUUUUGGAAAUCAGAGGAAUAUUUCCAUUCAGGACCAGAACAGCUAUUUUAAUUUCAUGUUCACAAGUUUGUUAAGUGUAUCCAUUCUUGAUUAGACCAUUUUCUCAAGUCAACAUUCAGAUACAAAGGAGAGAAGCAACACCACGGACUACAUGUUAAUUACUGCAACAAACUCAUUAUAUCCAGAGCUUGCACACAAGCAAAAGUUAUCUGCCGUCCUCUCUCCUUGCAUUCAUCUGUCUUUCCUUAUCUGUGCUCUUUUUUUUGUCCUCUUGCCAUUUGGUGGCAUAUUCAUUUUUCAAUCACUUUACCUUGGCAUCACUGACAAACCUUACUCUUUUUAUUUUCUCCCACAUCCAGGCUGUUCAUCCAACACAUUUCAAAAUUUUGUUAUUUCUUCCUGUUCCUGUCUUUAAAAGCUGUCACUUCCUUUCUGUUCCUGAAGACAAAAAUCCCCAUCCUAACAUUUUUAUGUACAACAGCGUGUCCUCUUCUCAAAAUUUAUUCCGUGGUUAAACCACAUAAAUUGGCAAAUAAUGUUCCUAUUUUCCAUUCAAGCUAGAUGAUGGUAUUAACCAACCAUAAGGUCUCCAUGCUAUGGAUGAUCUUAGAAAUAAUAAAAUCCAGGUUCACAACUAAUGUGGAAAUUGUCUUCGCUGUGAACUAGUAGCUACUCUUUCUCUUUAAUGCUAUAUGGGCCUGUCUUGCAAUUGAUCCUGGAUUUGAAACUGACAGCUGUGAACUAGCAGGAAAAUGAUGUGGCAAGAGUUGCCAUUCCUGAAGAGAAUUCAAAGAAGUUCUAUUUGGGCAGACUGUGCUCACUCAUAGAACACAAAUUUUUAUCUUCUGAGUCCCUUUGGGCCAUAUGGACUUCAAAGUGCAAUAUAUAUACACACAUACAUCCGUAUGUACAUAUAUCCAUGUACAUAUAGAAAAAUACAUAUAUAGUAUUAGAUUUAUAAAUAUAAUAUAAAAUAAAUAUAAUUUACUUUUAUGUAAUUAUAUUAUUUAGAAAUUUAUUUAUGUUAUCUACUUCAGGUACUUAUCUAUUUUUAUAUAUAAUGCAAAAAAGGUGUUGCAGUAUACAUUAUACAAAUAUUAUGUAACACUCUAAAUUGCUUCUGGGCAGUACCCUCUAGUCAAAUCCAUGAAUAUUUCUUUACCCAAAUUAUAUAGCAGUCACACUAAGAGAGAUACAUAACAAUUAUGAAGCAUAUUAUGGCCAUUCAUGGUCUGUUUAGAGAUGAGGGCUUCUGAAAAAAUGUGAUUGUUGGUUAGCCGAACAAGUAUUUCUCUAGCAGUGCAGCAGACGCUUUCCUUCUGGUGACAUGUGAGAGUGGGUGGGACUGAUAUGUUGAUGUGGCAGAAGUACAUCGUGAACCACGCUGAGGAAGGCAACAUCUGUGAGGAUGGUGGAGAAUUACACGGGAAGAAGACAAAUCCAUAGAAGAAGAUCACAGAGCAAAGCCUCACUUGCAUAGGCUCUUUGGACUUUUAAAUUGUUCCAUGUGCACGAGUCAAACUUAAGGCAUUGUCUUUCAUUUGCUUGUUUGUUUUCCAGCAGUUUAGUCUUUAUCCUAAUAAGACUGCUUAGGAUAAUAUGAGCUGAUUGCUAUUCUUUUAAAGGGAAUGGCUAAACACAAUUGUAAUGGUAAAGAAAAAAUCUGCUCAUUUUUCUUUACUUAGAUUGGAUAAGAGACAGAUGGAUUGUAUGGAAAUAAGUAACUUAUAACAUGGUCUUUUUGUUAUGUAAUUUCUCCCAUGCUUAAGAAGUAUUAUAUUAAUCACAGUUCUAAGAAGAGUCAGGUUUACAUUGUCAUAUGAAGUCUUUUCAUGGAUAUCUCCUCCAACUGUCAGAGAAGUAUUAUAUACAUGUAAUAGUGUCAUAGAGCAUAGAGUAUAGAUAAAAUAUAUAGUUUAUAGAGUAAAUUGAUUAUACGGUAAAGAGUAUAUAAAGUACACAGCAUGUAGGGUAGAUAGAGUAAUACUAUACAUUACUCUCCAUGUGUUCACAAAUAGAUAUAUUCACAUAUUACUUUCUACACAUUCAGAGAGAAUUUGUUUUCUGAAACCAUUAGAAGAUUUGAAUUUUCACAAGUCACAAAUAACAGAACUUUCAAGGUGUUCUAAAAUUAGAUAGAAAAUAGUUACUUAUAAGAAACCAUCCAGAAAUGCAUCAUUAACUCUCAGAAUGUGUAAAUAAAUCUGACAUUUGCCAGAAGCUAAUGAGAUACAUGCUUGCUGUCUAACUUGUCAAGCAUUCUUUUUGGGAAAUCUUAAAGAGAGAAGCCUUCCAAAUCUGAGUCAUUUACAUGAGACCAAGUCAAAACAUACCAAACAUCAAAAUCAGGUUCGUGUUCUCUAAAGGUAUUUCAUAUGAAGAGCAAGGUCUCCAUUGUUGGAUAGAUUUGCUUUAGAAUCCUCAUCCUGUGAAUUACUGGUUGUCAUCUUAGGCAAUUUACUCCAUUUCUUGGAGCCUUGUGAACGCUAAAAACUUAGGAGUCAGAACCAACUCUACUGUGGUUUCAGCUACUGGCAAUGCUAUAAAUGUUCUUGCCCUUUCUUUUUCCCCUGCAUUUUCGCCAGUUUAUUUUGUAACUGCUGCCUCCUUUUAGAAUGUAAAAUCCAGUAUCUCAAUUAUCAGCUUAGAUUUAGAUCACUUAUGUCUAAAUGCCUGAUAAAGUAGUUUGGUAUAUACCCCUCGCAACAAAAGUGGAUGCUUUCUGGAUUCGACUCCAUCUCAGAUCUCUUCCUUCAAGGAAAUAUACUUGAAUUUUGGUAGGUGUGCAGAAAAUGAUGCUGUUUGCAUUACUUCAAUCCAGAAGGUCAAAGAGUAUUACAAAUGAUGGACUACAUCACUAUGACAGCAUGGUGAUGGAGGAACAUGAAAUGUUAUUGGCACAUCUGAGUCCCAAAGAAUAUCAGCAAAAAAAAUAGUUUGACAAUGACAUCAUAAAAUUACUGUUUAUAAUCACUGGUGGGUCAUUUUAUUUCAAAGUCUUUGGUUUUGUUGAUCAUCUCCAUUAUGUAUCUGUAUUCUAUUUCAGCUCUUUUCAAUAAUUUAUUUACAAUUUCCUUCUUUUUUUGGUUUAGUCAAUCUUUUUCUUGCUAUUUAAAUCAGAUUUCUAUUUCAUUAAUAUUUUAGACUAUUUGUUUUUCAAGUGUAAUCACUUAAGUGCAAUACAUUUUUCUUUUUUAUAGAAACUUUUAGAAGUAUAAAUAUUCUUCUAAGUACCAUUUGGGUGGCAUCCCAUAGUCUGCAUCAGUAGUAUUUGCAUUAUUAUUCAGUAUUAAGUAAUUUUGCAUUUUCAAAUAUGGAAAUAUUACAUACUAGGAUUUAUUUCUCCCAUAUUAUUUUUUCAUUUCCAUGUUAUUUUAUUAUUUUCUUUCCUAUUAUGCAGAUUUCAUAUUCAUUACAUGUUUUUCUUAACAUUUUGGAAAUGAUAUCCUCUAUUUUUUUACCUUUUAAGUGGCUAUUAUUGGAAUUAUCAUAUUUAUUUCACUAAAAGUUUAAAGUGAAUAAAUUUCUCCAACCCCUUUUCAAACAAUCAAAUGUCCUCACAAUACUGUAUCUAAGAAUUUCCCUCUCCUGUCUCUCACUAACAUAUAUUACUGUCCACUCUUCUGAUUUCAUCUUAUAGUUACUAAUGGAGACAUUUCACGUUUGCAAUAUCAACAUGUAUUUUGAUU